GUCGACGAGUUCUGAUUAUUGAAAGGUGCUUGCAUCUUGAUUUAAUUUUGAACGAGUGGCGGACGGGUGAGUAACACGUGGGUAACCUGCCCUUAAGUGGGGGAUAACAUUUGGAAACAGAUGCUAAUACCGCAUAAAUCCAAGAACCGCAUGGUUCUUGGCUGAAAGAUGGCGUAAGCUAUCGCUUUUGGAUGGACCCGCGGCGUAUUAGCUAGUUGGUGAGGUAACGGCUCACCAAGGCAAUGAUACGUAGCCGAACUGAGAGGUUGAUCGGCCACAUUGGGACUGAGACACGGCCCAAACUCCUACGGGAGGCAGCAGUAGGGAAUCUUCCACAAUGGACGCAAGUCUGAUGGAGCAACGCCGCGUGAGUGAAGAAGGCUUUCGGGUCGUAAAACUCUGUUGUUGGAGAAGAAUGGUCGGCAGAGUAACUGUUGUCGGCGUGACGGUAUCCAACCAGAAAGCCACGGCUAACUACGUGCCAGCAGCCGCGGUAAUACGUAGGUGGCAAGCGUUAUCCGGAUUUAUUGGGCGUAAAGCGAGCGCAGGCGGUUUUUUAAGUCUGAUGUGAAAGCCCUCGGCUUAACCGAGGAAGUGCAUCGGAAACUGGGAAACUUGAGUGCAGAAGAGGACAGUGGAACUCCAUGUGUAGCGGUGAAAUGCGUAGAUAUAUGGAAGAACACCAGUGGCGAAGGCGGCUGUCUGGUCUGUAACUGACGCUGAGGCUCGAAAGCAUGGGUAGCGAACAGGAUUAGAUACCCUGGUAGUCCAU
rnacentral:rRNA from 1 species